CUAAUACUGCAAGUCGAGCGAACAGAUGAGAAGCUUGCUUCUCUGAUGUUAGCGGCGGACGGGUGAGUAACACGUGGGUAACCUACCUAUAAGACUGGGAUAACUCCGGGAAACCGGGGCUAAUACCGGAUAAUAUAUUGAACCGCAUGGUUCAAUGUUGAAAGACGGUUUUGGCUGUCACUUAUAGAUGGACCCGCGCCGUAUUAGCUAGUUGGUAAGGUAACGGCUUACCAAGGCAACGAUACGUAGCCGACCUGAGAGGGUGAUCGGCCACACUGGAACUGAGACACGGUCCAGACUCCUACGGGAGGCAGCAGUAGGGAAUCUUCCGCAAUGGGCGAAAGCCUGACGGAGCAACGCCGCGUGAGUGAUGAAGGUCUUAGGAUCGUAAAACUCUGUUGUUAGGGAAGAAUAAAUUUGUUAGUAACUGAACAAGUCUUGACGGUACCUAACCAGAAAGCCACGGCUAACUACGUGCCAGCAGCCGCGGUAAUACGUAGGUGGCAAGCGUUAUCCGGAAUUAUUGGGCGUAAAGCGCGCGUAGGCGGUUUCUUAAGUCUGAUGUGAAAGCCCACGGCUCAACCGUGGAGGGUCAUUGGAAACUGGGGAACUUGAGUGCAGAAGAGGAGAGUGGAAUUCCAUGUGUAGCGGUGAAAUGCGCAGAGAUAUGGAGGAACACCAGUGGCGAAGGCGGC
rnacentral:rRNA from 1 species